rfam:Sorghum bicolor cultivar BTx623 chromosome 5, whole genome shotgun sequence.
GUUGUCGGAUUCACUUUAAUCCAUGUGUGUUGGUGUGGGUUGAGGUGGAAUUUAAUUCGAAUUUCACUUCAAUCCACCUCUAACACAUGUGGAUUGACGUGAAUCCGACU